rnacentral:rRNA from 1 species
GACGAACGCUGGCGGCGUGCCUAAUACAUGCAAGUCGAGCGGAUCUUGGCCUUCGGGCCUUGGUUAGCGGCGGACGGGUGAGUAACACGUAGGCAACCUGCCCUUCAGAUCGGGAUAACAUUCGGAAACGAAUGCUAACACCGGAUAAACACUUUUGCCGCAUGGUGAGAGUGGGAAACACGGCGCAAGCUGUGGCUAAAGGAUGGGCCUGCGGCGCAUUAGCUAGUUGGUGGGGUAAAGGCUCACCAAGGCGACGAUGCGUAGCCGACCUGAGAGGGUGAACGGCCACACUGGGACUGAGACACGGCCCAGACUCCUACGGGAGGCAG